GAUGAACGCUGGCAGAAUGCUUAACACAUGCAGUCACUGAUUGUGGCGGACGGGUGAGUGACGCAUAAGGAACUUGCCUCACAUCUAGGGACGACAUUUGGAAACGAAUGCUAAUACCUAACACUGUGAGAGAGCUUUGCGUCCCAUUAGCUUGUUGGAGUGGUAACGGCUCACCAAGGCGAGGAUGGGUAGCCGGCCUGAGAGGGUGAUCGGCAAAAAGGGGACUGGGACACGGCCCUGACUCUUACGGGAGGAAGGAGGGGGGAAUAUUGGACAAGGGACGAAAGUCUGAUAGAGAAAUUCGGUGUGCAAGAUGAAGUUUUCGGAAUGAAAAGUGCUUGAAGUUGGGAAGCGGUACCAACAGAAGAAGUGACGGCUAACUACGUGCCAGCAGCCGCGGUAAUAC
rnacentral:rRNA from 1 species